rnacentral:misc_RNA from 1 species
AAGUCGUAACAAGGUUUCCGUAGGUGAACCUGCGGAAGGAUCAUUAACAGUUUAUGUUUGUGUCUGUUGUUGUGAUGUGUGUGAUCUGUGACAAUUGCCAUUUGGUUGGCAAUGUUAUUUUUUUUACUAUGUUUUUUAUCACCUGUCUUAUACCAUACCAUAUACAAUUAUCGAAAACUGCCAGCAAUGGAUCACUCGGUUCUU